rnacentral:lncRNA from 1 species
CUCCCAUCUCAUGUCUCUGUUUAAUGUUAAUCUUUUCUUCCUGCUCUUCCUCCCUGCUCUGUUCUUAUAUCUCUCUCACUUUCUUAAAUAAAACUUUUUCUCUACGCUUGUCUCGGCUUUGCUCUGUUGAAUCUUCAACACUGGGGAAYAUGAACCCGGUUCCUGACCUGCAACGGACUGAUACACACACACACACAAUUUAUUAUAUGUACAUAUGUAUCACAUAUAUAUGUACAGUGUGUGUGCGAUUCUAUAUAUAUCACACACGCAAGUAUUGGAAUAAGUCUUCUGCCAUCCUGUGACAGCCCAAGAGUUUAACUCUUUGACAUUCCACUUGCCUUCCCUGGCUGUACGGAAUGGGAGUUCUUUGAUGGUGGCCUCCAGUAUCAUAAUCCUACGGGCGCGGCCAUGACAGUUUCUACAGAGCCGCUAACGACCCACCCACCCACGCUGUCGGCCCUGAUGACCAUUGGCAGACGUAGCUUCGGGGGUGCUAGUGGGCAUGCGCCUAAUCACAACUUGUGUAAGGCCAUCCCGACGCGAAGGCUGGCAAACCGGAAGUUUCGAAGAACGCACUUCCGUUUAGACCGUAGAGGGCUGCACCAGUCGCGGGACGCCGAGGUUUCCUGGUGUCUGUGGAGCCUCUGGGUUAGGCUGAGUCGUCCAGACUGCAGGAAUUCUCUUUGCUGUCCACCUGUCUCUCCCCAGUGGCUCUGGUUGGAGCCUCUGGUGCCCACCCAGCUUCCAGCUUCUGAGGAAAGUGGAGCUGCUAGCAAGAGAAACCAAGAGUAGAAGUCCAGGGGGGAUGCCAGCUGGUGUGCACUUACCCCAGAAGCCCCAGGUCCUGGGCCCAGAGGAGCAGCACAGAUCUUGUGAGGUAAGCAGAGCUGCCCCGGAGCAGCUGUCUAGAUCUGCGGCAGGAAACAGCGGAUCCUGAACUCAGAGUGGACCACAGGGGGCUAAUGCCCAUGCCUCCUAAUCUUAGUGACAUGCUCACCUUGCCGCCUCG